CAAAGUUAAUUUUAAUUAUGUGCAUUUCUCAUGUUCACUAUCUGCAACAUCUAAGGGGCCCUGGUUAUGACAGCCCUGUUUAAACUAGUGACUGCUAAGUAAAUUGAAAGUUAUAAGUGUCCUGGAUUUAAUGUACAUAAAGCAACUAAGCAUGUAAACAUUAAUUAUAGGGCAUUAUAAGGUAAAAUAAAUUAUAUUUUUCUAGGCACUUUCAAGAAUCCCAGUUUGAGCAAAAUCGCGCAGAUGGCUGGAUGAAGCUGAAGCAGAAGACUGCCAUUUCAACAGUGUUUGCACGUUCUAAUCGCAAGAGAAGGAAAUCACCAAUGAUGCGAAAUGCUCCAUUACCAAAGGUACUUUGUCAAGAGUAACAAACGAUAUCUGGGAGACGCUGAUGGACGCUGCGUCUAGUCAACGACCGUAGGUUGUGCACGGCUGCCGGAGCACCUUCGGGAAACGCUAACCGCCGAUUCAAGCCUGCACAGCAGUGACUGGAGAUACAGCAACCUUGUAUGAAAAGUGCCGAUAAGACAGUGCAGCCAACAGAAGGUGUAAGUUGACCAAAGUGAAAUAAGUUUUUAAUCACCCUCGUACGACAUGGAUCCUUCGUAACGUCUGCGUUCUGGCUCCAACCAUACUUAUUCAUUGUUUAGUUUACUUCAUGAGCCAAUCUUAGUAACGGAAUACAUAUAGCAUUUACACCAAGACACUCUUUGUGGCUUUGUUUUAAAAAAUGAAAGUUACAUUAAAGCGGUUUUGCGCAGGUGAGGUAUACGGCCAAGGGAACAUAGUAUAGGGGGCUAAUUGUAACGAUCAGUUGGCUAAUUAAGUAAAAUUCGUUAAUUAACUUUUUAAUAAAUGAAAAUAGACAUGUGGUUCCAAUUAGAAACUUGUUCAGCGUCACCUAAGGCCACUAUAUCAACUCUUUUUCGAAAGAUAUAACGCAGGGGCUGUAUAUUACAGCGUUCCAUGAAAACGCUCAAUGUGGACGCGUUUCUAGGUUUCGAUUUGUUAUUGCAGUGCAUCUCUGCUCCCACGGUCCUGCUCGACAGUGGCUGAGAUGUGCAACACAGUUGCGCCCAACUUCCCUCUAUGCUACAAGCACCCCAGGAGCUACUAUCGCCCGAAGAUGUCACAGGUGGUCAUGAUUCUUUGAGGCAGCGGAAUUUCACCGCAGUGCAUCUUUAACACCUUCAGUUUCUUUUCUACUGCAAGCCUGGUACUACAGCUUGUGGCCCGUGUAGAAGAAUAGAGGGGUGAAACCAAGGCUCAAGUGACUGUGGACUCAUGGCCCUCAGACAGCUAGAGCACCAGACCAGGCACAGACCAGAGCCAUUUAUGCUCCACUUCUAGAGGACAUGUUGCAGUUUGAAACUACCAAGACUCAUGGAAGCUGCUGACAGGAGGCUGUUGAAGCCGUGGUCGCAAGGCACCCAUGACAUUGAAGUCUUCCAAACAAGGCACUAUGAAGGCAUGACUUGUAGCGGCACUGGAGCAAGCGACACGGUCCGGGUGAGCCGCAAGUGUAACUGUUACACUGUAAACAGGAAAUAUAGACAUGUGUCCGACAAAGCACAGACUCAUAAAACUUUCAUGUAGCAAUAAUAGUUUAAUUUAACUAAACAGUGCAUCAACAGAGCCUGACCCAAGAAUGGGGAAUUGGGGAACCGGCCAAUGUGUAGAGUCUAACAGAAACAAGGAAGGCGAUAAAAACAAAUGGGGCAACAUGUUAAGAUAGGACAAUAAUGUCGUGCCUAUUUUUUGUUUUCAAUUAAGAUUUUAUAGGAGCUAGCAAAAUAUGUCCUUGCAAUGGAAUAGACCUACUUUUACAAAAAGACCUUCAAUGUUUUUGUUAAAAUAAAUUGCGUCUGAGGAGGUGGAAAUAUGAUUUUCCCAAUUGCGCAUUAACAUAUCUUUGAGCUCCACAGGGUAAUAAAACAUCCCGAAACGUAAAUAUUUUUAUGCAUGCUCAGAAGUUUUUUUUAAAUAUAGAAAAAGUCAAACAAUUUUUUUGUGAGAAUUCAAAGAUAUUGUCAUCCUCAAUUUUUUUUUUUCAUUUUCGUUAUUGAACACUUAGAAACAUGUAAUUCAGAAUCCACCACCAAGACCUGUUGUAUUCU